rnacentral:lncRNA from 1 species
GUAUAGGGGGCCCUCUUCAAUGGAUUAUCUCAUAAUACACACUAGUUUGUUAACCUACUCUGUCUAAUUAUGCUAACAUCAUCAUUGGCAAUGGAAUUGAGCAGUGAUGUAGCCAGAAUUUCUAAUUAAGGCCUUCAAGGGGGACUGAAAUCCCCAGGAGGGGCCUGCACUAGUUUGGACUCCCAAGCUAUCCAUGUAUAUUAAUAUAGUACAAUGUAG